rnacentral:rRNA from 1 species
UACGGGGGGGGCAAGCGUUGUUCGGAAUUACUGGGCGUAAAGGGCUCGUAGGCGGCCAACUAAGUCAGACGUGAAAUCCCUCGGCUUAACCGGGGAACUGCAUCUGAUACUGGAUGGCUUGAGUUCGGGAGAGGGAUGCGGAAUUCCAGGUGUAGCGGUGAAAUGCGUAGAGAUCUGGAGGAACACCGGUGGCGAAGGCGGCAUCCUGGACCGGUAUUGACACUGAGGCGCGAAAGCCAGGGGAGCAAACGGG